rnacentral:ncRNA from 1 species
AAAUUCCACUAGGGGCGCCGUAUUCGGCUGAGACAAGAGCGUAUCUUGGACCCUUUGAACCUGAUCUAGUUCGUACUAGCGUAGGAAAGUGGAGCCGGUAUCGC